ensembl:snoRNA snoRNA:Me28S-C2645c
UUUUUUGUGAUGAAAUCGUUAGAUAGGGACGUCUGAUAUCUGUGACUGAUUUAUCUCGAUAGUAGAUCUGAUUUU